rnacentral:rRNA from 1 species
UAGAUGCGAGAGUAGAGCAUAUCAAUAAGCGGAGGAAAAGAAACUAACAAGGAUUCCCUUAGUAACGGCGAGUGAAGCGGGAAGAGCUCAAAUUUGAAAUCUUCAAGGUUCUACCUUGACGAAUUGUAGUUUAUAGAAGUGUUUUCUGUUAGUAGGAGUGGCAAAAGUUCUUUGGAAUAGGACAUCAUAGAGGGUGAGAAUCCCGUAUUUGGUCAUUCUUCCUAGCGUUGUGAUACACUUUCAAAGAGUCGGAUUGUUUGGGAAUGCAGUCCAAAAUGGGUGGUAAAUUUCAUCUAAAGCUAAAUAUUGGCGAGAGACCGAUAGCGAACAAGUACCGUGAGGGAAAGAUGAAAAGAACUUUGAAAAGAGAGUUAAACAGUACGUGAAAUUGUCAAAAGGGAAGCGUUUGACACCAGUGUUGUUUUUCCGAAAAUCAAUUACGAAUGUUUUAUUUUUGAGGAGUUAUGACUUCAUCGGCUUGCUCCUUUCUUUAUGAAACUUUCUUAAUGCACUUUUCGGUUAACAAGUCAACAUCAAUUUCUUUUGUUGUAAAAGGGUAUGAGGAAGGUGGCUUUCUUUUCGGAGAAAGUGUUUAUAGCCUUGUGCCUCUGCAAUCGGAGAGAUUGAGGUCUGCAGCGUAGACUCUUCGGGGUUAGAUACAGUUUGUGCUAAGUUAUAGCUUUUCAUAGACAACUUGUUGACUAUGUUUAGUCUUGUAGCUUACUCGCUUAUGCUAUUUUACCUACGCUUAGGAUGUUGACGAGACUGUCGAUCUC